ACUCCUACGGGAGGCAGCAGUAGGGAAUCUUCCGCAAUGGACGAAAGUCUGACGGAGCAACGCCGCGUGAACGAUGAAGGCCUUCGGGUCGUAAAGUUCUGUUGUUAGGGAAGAACAAGUACCGUUCAAAUAGGGCGGUACCUUGACGGUACCUAACGAGAAAGCCACGGCUAACUACGUGCCAGCAGCCGCGGUAAUACGUAGGUGGCAAGCGUUGUCCGGAAUUAUUGGGCGUAAAGCGCGCGCAGGCGGUCUCUUAAGUCUGAUGUGAAAUCUCGCGGCUCAACCGCGAGCGGUCAUUGGAAACUGGGAGACUUGAGUGUAGAAGAGGAGGGUGGAAUUCCAUGUGUAGCGGUGAAAUGCGUAGAUAUAUGGAGGAACACCAGUGGCGAAGGCGACUCUCUGGUCUGUAACUGACGCUGAGGCGCGAAAGCGUGGGGAGCAAACAGGAUUAGAUACCCUGGUAGUC
rnacentral:rRNA from 1 species